UACGAAGGGUGCAAGCGUUAAUCGGAAUUACUGGGCGUAAAGGGUGCGUAGGCGGUUAGUUAAGUCUGUUGUGAAAUCCCCAGGCUUAACCUGGGAACUGCGUCUGAUACUGGAUGGCUUGAAUUCGGGAGAGGGAUGCAGAAUUCCAGGUGUAGCGGUGAAAUGCGUAGAUAUCUGGAGGAAUACCGGUGGCGAAGGCGGCAUCCUGGACCGACAUUGACGCUGAUGAGCGAAAGCUAGGGGAGCAAACGGG
rnacentral:rRNA from 1 species